ACGCACGCUGGCGGCAUGCCUCACACAUGCAAGUCGAACGAGACCUUCGGGUCUAGUGGCGCACGGGUGCGUAACGCGUGGGAACCUGCCUUUAGGUUCGGAAUAACUCAGAGAAAUUUGAGCUAAUACCGGAUGAUGUCUUCGGACCAAAGAUUUAUCGCCUUUAGAUGGGCCCGCGUUGGAUUAGCUAGUUGGUGGGGUAAAGGCCUACCAAGGCGACGAUCCAUAGCUGGUCUGAGAGGAUGAUCAGCCACACUGGGACUGAGACACGGCCCAGACUCCUACGGGAGGCAGCAGUGGGGAAUAUUGGACAAUGGGCGAAAGCCUGAUCCAGCAAUGCCGCGUGAGUGAUGAAGGCCUUAGGGUUGUAAAGCUCUUUUACCCGAGAUGAUAAUGACAGUAUCGGGAGAAUAAGCUCCGGCUAACUCCGUG
rnacentral:rRNA from 1 species